CUCACAAGGCACGCACAGCGCAUGACCUCACCUCACAAUCCCCUUUCUCCUAUCCAUCUCUCACUCAAUCGUCCUCCGCCGCCGCCGUCGCAGUUCACCGGCCGGCCACCCCACCACACCCACGAGAUUCCCUCGCCACCCCAAUCCCACCCACCGCCGCCGUCGCUCGGUGCUGCUCCCCGCCUCGCAGUUCACCGGCCGGCCACCGGAUACCCCCAAUCCCACCCACCCAGGCAAUUCCCAUCAGCCCCACUGGUUCCCCACUCACAGCCAUGGCGCCUCCCUGCCUCGAUGCACCAGCUGUGGUCGACGGCCCAAGCAGCACGGGCGGCCGGCGCUGGAAGGCCUCCUCCACGGCGUCCGCGUCCCGCCAUCGUGGAGCUCGUCACAGGGAGGCAAGGAGGAGUAUGGUGGUCGCUUUCCCGGCCGCCGCCGACCUCCUAGACAACCUCCCUGAGCUGCGGCCGCCGACUCCGUCCCCGACCUGCUGCUGCCGGAGACAACUCCGUUCCUGUUGCUGUCGGCCACAUCCUAACCUGCACCUACCCGAUAUCAAGUAAGAGAGUUGGUAAUGGACGCUCACAAGGCAGAGUAUCCCCAUCAGCAUCUAAUGGCAGAACCUCCUGCUCUAGACUCUUGACAGGUUGAGGCCGCCAGUUAUCACCUGAGGGAAUUCAAUAACCAGUUUGCAAGUUGGGUACAACUACAGUCACAAAAUCAUCCAGGUGACCUUUGGGAGGACGGCAUCAAAGAUUACUUAUCCCAUGCUUUCGAAAUCAUGAAAGGAGGGACAGCAAACUCAAUAGAAGGUACAGAAGAGGAAUCUCAGGUAUUAACUUGAGGAGCUUGAACGCCAGCACUUUUCAUCCAAGGAUAAGUCAUAUGCUGAACGACUAGGAAGGUCAAUCAGCAGUCGAUGGUUCUGGAGAAGAGGAUGGAGCCUUCUGGCGAAAGAAUCAUAUCCAAGGAGAAUUGUUGGAAAACGGGAAAAGAAGAUUCAGAAGCUAUUCAACUUUACUUUUCUGGAUAUGUCAAAAACUUACAUGCUUGGUACACAAGACAUAACCAAAGCAAAAUACAUGUCUGGGAUGGAUUGUCUGUCAUGGCCACUCGGUGACGAGAAGGUGAAAAGGAAGGGUAGGAAACCCAAGCUCAAGAAACUCAUUGAACAACAACGAGCCUCAGGACAGUGGUAGUGAGCUUCCAGUGGCGCUGCCACGCCACGUUCCCUUAUGCUCAGGCCUUCUUACAGCACGGACCGGCAGCCAAGAGGACGACCCUAGUUUAAUGCUGCCUGGCUUCAUGGACGUGCUUCUGCCAUUAGAAGGUCCUUGUCUCGUAGGUAAUUCAGGUUUGGUAUGUCACAGGAAAGGAUGAAGAGAAAAAAGCUGAGCACAUUGUUCCAAGUUCUACACCACAGCGUUGUUUUUUCAUCUCUAGCCUGAGAGGAUGUGUGCUUGAUUUGGCCCCCGGCUUGGACUACCUCCUCGGCUUGUCAUCGGUGGUGUUCGGCCCCGACUACAUGCUCUCCGGUGAACUACUGGUUCACCUUCAGUUUUCCGGCUCCCAUGUGCUCUUGGAUUGGCGGUGAUGUUCAGCCUCGGCUACAUGAUCUCCGCUCGUCAUUGAGGACAUAUGUUGUGACCUCUAGUGUUGUGAUCUGAUUGGAAGAUCACUGCUGGCCUAUGGCUGGGAGUCCGACGAUCCUCCCUUCC